AGAGUUUGAUCCUGGCUCAGGACGAACGCUGGCGGCGUGCUUAACACAUGCAAGUCGAACGAUGAAGCCCAGCUUGCUGGGUGGAUUAGUGGCGAACGGGUGAGUAACACGUGAGUAACCUGCCCUUGACUCUGGGAUAAGCGUUGGAAACGACGUCUAAUACCGGAUACGAGCUUCCACCGCAUGGUGAGUUGUUGGAAAGAAUUUUGGUCAAGGAUGGACUCGCGGCCUAUCAGCUUGUUGGUGAGGUAAUGGCUCACCAAGGCGACGACGGGUAGCCGGCCUGAGAGGGUGACCGGCCACACUGGGACUGAGACACGGCCCAGACUCCUACGGGAGGCAGCAGUGGGGAAUAUUGCACAAUGGGCGAAAGCCUGAUGCAGCAACGCCGCGUGAGGGACGACGGCCUUCGGGUUGUAAACCUCUUUUAGCAGGGAAGAAGCGAAAGUGACGGACCUGCAGAAAAAGCCCCG
rnacentral:rRNA from 1 species